GGUCCAGUAGCCUAAUGGGUAAGGCAUCAGCCUCCGGAGCUGGUUAUUGUGGAUUCAAGUCCCACCUGGUUGU
rnacentral:tRNA from 1 species